rnacentral:rRNA from 1 species
UACGGAGAGUGCAAGCGUUAAUCGGAAUUAUUGGGCGUAAAGGGCGCGUAGGCGGGAUAAUAAGUCAGAUGUGAAAUUCCAAAGCUCAACUUUGGAGCUGCAUUUGAAACUAUAAUUCUAGAGGAUUGACGGGGAAAACGGAAUUCCACGUGUAGCGGUGAAAUGCGUAGAUAUGUGGAAGAACACCUGUGGCGAAAGCGGUUUUCUAGUUAAUACCUGACGCUGAGGCGCGAGAGCAAGGGGAGCAAACAGG